UUGCAGGUGGGCCCAGGCCA
rnacentral:misc_RNA from 1 species